rnacentral:rRNA from 1 species
UACGAAGGGGGCUAGCGUUGCUCGGAAUCACUGGGCGUAAAGCGCACGUAGGCGGAUCUUUAAGUCAGGGGUGAAAUCCUGGAGCUCAACUUCAGAACUGCCUUUGAUACUGGGGAUCUCGAGUCCGGAAGAGGUGAGUGGAACUCCGAGUGUAGAGGUGAAAUUCGUAGAUAUUCGGAAGAACACCAGUGGCGAAGGCGGCUCACUGGUCCGGUACUGACGCUGAGGUGCGAAAGCGUGGGGAGCAAACAGG